rnacentral:sRNA from 1 species
AGCAGCCGCGGUAAUUCCAGCUCCAAUAGCGUAUAUUUAAGUUGUUGCAGUUAAAAAGCUCGUAGUUGAAUUUCGGGGUUAGUAGGUUGGUCGUGCCACUGGUAUGUACUGGUCUCACUGAUUCCUCCUUCCUGAUGAACCGUAAUGCCAUUAAUUUGGUAUUGCAGGGAGACUGGACUGUUACUUUGAAAAAUUAGAGUGUUUAAAGUAGGCUAACGCUUGAAUACAUUAGCAUGGAAUAACAGAAUAGAACGUUCGAUCUUAUUUUGUUGGUUUCUAAGAUUGAUGUAAUGAUUAAUAGGGAUAGUUGGGGUAUUAGUAUUCAAUUGUCAGAGGUGAAAUUCUUGGAUUUAUUGAAGACUAACUACUGU